GUGCCAGCAGCCGCGGUAAUACGGAGGAUGCAAGCGUUAUCCGGAAUGAUUGGGCGUAAAGCGUCCGCAGGUGGCACAUCAAGUCUGCUGUCAAAGCCCCCAGCUUAACUGGGAAGAGGCGGUGGAAACUGGUGAGCUAGAGAGCAAUAGGGGUAGAGGGAAUUCCCGGUGUAGCGGUGAAAUGCGUAGAGAUCGGGAAGAACAUCGGUGGCGAAAGCGCUCUACUGGAGAGCAACUGACACUCAGGGUCGAAAGCUAGGGGAGCGAAUGGGAUUAGAUACCCCAGUAGUCCUAGCCGUAAACGAUGGAUACUAGGCGUGGCUCGUAUCGACCCGAGCCGUGCCGUAGCUAACGCGUUAAGUAUCCCGCCUGGGGAGUACGCACGCAAGUGUGAAACUUAAAUGAAUUGACGGGG
rnacentral:rRNA from 1 species